AAAAAGGGCUUCUGUCGUAGUGGCACACACAGGGCAACUCGAUUGCUCUGUGUGCGGAAUCGACAUCUAGAGAUUUCGGAAGCAUAAUUUCUUGGUAUUUGGGAAGCUGGUAGAACGGAAAAAAAAAGAUUGAGGGGGACUUUUAGCAAUUGAGGAGUUGAGUAUCUGUCGUCUUUCUA